UACGUAGGGUGCAAGCGUUGUCCGGAAUUAUUGGGCGUAAAGAGCUCGUAGGCGGUCUGUCGCGUCGGCUGUGAAAACCCGGGGCUCAACCCCGGGCCUGCAGUCGAUACGGGCAGACUAGAGUGCGGUAGGGGAGACUGGAAUUCCUGGUGUAGCGGUGAAAUGCGCAGAUAUCAGGAGGAACACCGGUGGCGAAGGCGGGUCUCUGGGCCGAUACUGACGCUGAGGAGCGAAAGCAUGGGUAGCGAACAGG
rnacentral:rRNA from 1 species